rnacentral:SRP_RNA from 1 species
UGUCAGGGGCUAUGAAGCUUGAACCGGUGAAUCCCGCCAGGGCAGGAAUGCAGCAACGGUAACCAGCUUCUUGUUGUCGUAGUCCUCUGACCUUU